UACAGAGGGUGCAAGCGUUAAUCGGAUUUACUGGGCGUAAAGGGCACGUAGGUGGUUGCGUAAGUGAGAUGUGAAAGCCCCGGGCUUAACCUGGGAACUGCAUCUUAUACUGCGUAGCUGGAGUGAAGUAGAGGGUAGUGGAAUUUCCGGUGUAGCGGUGAAAUGCGUAGAUAUCGGAAGGAACACCAGUGGCGAAGGCGGCUACCUGGACUUAAACUGACACUGAGGCGCGAAAGCGUGGGUAGCAAACAGG
rnacentral:rRNA from 1 species